rnacentral:lncRNA from 1 species
UAAACUCUAUUUAUUUCAACUACCUACCUUUUUACACUUCCAUCUUCUAUGUUCUUACCGGUUGCCUUGAAGCCCAACCCCGCUGCCGCUGCCGCUGCACCACCAUAGAUCGUUGCAUAUCUGGAUUGAUAACCAAGAUUAUGUGUUCUACAACUGGUGAUGGUUGUAGUAUGUUAAUGAUCUCAGCCCAACAAAGCUGUCUUUUCUCUAUUGUAGAGAUUCAAUCUACAAGUAAGGAUUUGGAUGCGGAUCUGAUGUUUCGAAAUUGGGGAUCUCGGAUGGUUUUUUAAAUUUGAUGAAACUAGUAAUAGUAAUGACAUCUGUUGGAUUAGACUACUUUCAUAAAUGUGUUGGGCCCUAUCAUUGUCUAACGGACCGUGAUAUCAAGAGUUCCAAGCGGAUUCGGAAAGGUCUACAACAAUUGUUAAUUAUAUUUGUUAACGGAAUUAUCUCAUCAAUGUCAAACUAGAAGGAGAAUAUCCAAUGCCUUUACCCAACUGUCUUUGAAAUCAUUAUUGUUUUGUAAGAUAAUUAUUGUUAAUGAUUAUAUGUAUCGCCUAGUCUAAUUUGAUUCGAUUAUUUUAGAACCACAAUGUAUAUUAUAAAUUUUAAUGUGGUUAAACUACCUUCAUAUAAUUGAUUUGUAUUUUUAGUUUCA